ACUCAAUAGAUACCCGGGUAGUCCAUGCCGUAAACGUUGGGCACUAGGUGUGGGGGACAUUCCACGUUUUCCGCGCCGUAGCUAAACGCAUUAAGUGCCCCGCCUGGGGAGUACGGCCGCAAGGCUAAAACUCAAAGGAAUUGACGGGGGCCCGCACAAGCGGCGGAGCAUGCGGAUUAAUUCGAUGCAACGCGAAGAACCUUACCAAGGCUUGACAUGAACCGGAAAGACCUGGAAACAGGUCCCCCACUUGUGGUCGGUUUACAGGUGGUGCAUGGUUGUCGUCAGCUCGUGUCGUGAGAUGUUGGGUUAAGUCCCGCAACGAGCGCAACCCUCGUUCUAUGUUGCCAGCACGUGAUGGUGGGGACUCAUAGGAGACUGCCGGGGUCAACUCGGAGGAAGGUGGGGACGACGUCAAAUCAUCAUGCCCCUUAUGUCUUGGGCUUCACGCAUGCUACAAUGGCCGGUACAAAGGGUUGCGAUACUGUGAGGUGGAGCUAAUCCCAAAAAGCCGGUCUCAGUUCGGAUUGGGG
rnacentral:rRNA from 1 species